AACACUAGCCUAAACACACCAACACACAUUAUCCACUAGCAAGUAACAAAUGUUAGACAUGAACAUUAUGAUUUUUGAAGAAAAUGAGUGCAAAAAUGAUAAGAUGUACCGCCAUAAAAGGUUAUAAAGGGUGAGAUUUUAGGAUUGGAUACUCUCCAAUCUUUGUUAAGAUUAUAGAAGUAAAGAAAAGGAAGUGACAUGUUGUUAGCAUUUAAUAAAUGAGAAUGAUAAGCAUGUGAUAUAUAUAGUAAAGGGUGUUGAAAAGAUAAGAAAAAAGUGUUGGGCAG
rnacentral:lncRNA from 1 species